rnacentral:sRNA from 1 species
AGAGUUGAAGGGCAUCUAGCUGUGGCAUCUGUCAUCUCAUUAAUCAUCAGAGUUGAUUUGGGUGCACUAAGUGCCUAUUUGGUGGGGUCCCCUUCCUCCCUCAGCUUUCCAUGUCCUUCUCAAAGCUGUGGCUCCAUGGAGGAAAAAGACUCUUCCCAAUAGGAGUUUCUUUGGGAGGCAUACCGAGUCUCUGUCUUCCCUUGCUAGAACCUCCAAAUAACCUAGGACCAAUUACUUACAUUUACUUAAAAUGUUGA